UAGUGGUCCGGAGGCCCUAUAAAAUUAAUGGUAAUUCGUCUGUCCAAUUAACUGCAUUGUUAGAACAUUUUAACUUUAGUGAACUUUAGUGUUCUAUGGAAUCGUUCUACCAUCCCAUAUGCUUGACAUAUGCUUGAAGAUGGUAGGAUGAUGUCCUGGUUCUUAUAGCGCCUAGAAGCUUGCAAAGUUCUCGAAAGAGAAUGGACUCAAAUUGAGUACCUUGAUCGGUUGUAAUUCGAGUUGGUACACCGAACCUAGAAACAUAUUCCCUAAGCAAACAUUGAGCAACAGUUUUAGCUCCAUAUCUUCGAAAGGAUACGCUUCAGGCCAUCUAGAGAAGCGAUCAACAAUUGACAAGAUGUAUCUGUAUCCCUUUGAUGGUGGUAAAGGCCCAACCAAAUCCAUAUGUAUAUUAUUGAACCGACCUGGAGGUAUUGGAAAAAUGUCUAACUGAGAUUUUAUGUCUUGUAACCAGUGUUGCCGUUUUGGUACUUUUAACUAAUUUUGGUUAUUUUUUUCUUGCCUGUGAAGUUGUUAAGAUCUUUCCCAUUUUGGUUAUUUUUAGCAUUUACUGUAGUUUCUAACUUUUGUAUACAUACAAUAAUUAAAUCUUUGAAUAUACAUUUAUUCUGCUCAAUAUGGUUAUUUAACUAAAGUUAUUACUACUAAAAUGGCAACUCAAGAUUCGACUUAUUCCGAUAAUAAUCAUGUGUUUACAUAUGCAAAAGGACAGUAAAAGUUCGAGGGUGCAACUAUUAUCGGUUCAUGUCUUUAAUACAUCGCGAUGAAUUAAUUGCCAAGUUUUUGAAACGGCCCCGCAGUUACACCAUUUCUAUGUUCUUUGCACACACCUACAUAGAAUUCCGCGCAAAAUUGGUAUUUCAACUUAAUUAAUACGGGCUCAAUUCUAUGGAUAAGUUCGUUAUAAGACAUAGGCCAGCUACACCUGUCAAGGUUGAGGAGAGUAGCAGCAGCAGUGGCAGCCCCAGCAGUGAAACCAACCUAAAAAGGGUUUACUUUUCACAAAUGCAAAUAAAAACUGAUUUUCUUUGGUUUGUAAAAUUUGUCUAAACGUAC